AGAGCGAACGCUGGCGGCAGGCCUAAUACAUGCAAGUCGAGCGCUCGUAGCAAUACGGGAGCGGCAGACGGGUGAGUAACACGUGGGAACGUACCCUUUGGUUCGGAACAACACAGGGAAACUUGUGCUAAUACCGGAUAAGCCCUUACGGGGAAAGAUUUAUCGCCGAAGGAUCGGCCCGCGUCUGAUUAGCUUGUUGGUGAGGUAAUGGCUCACCAAGGCUACGAUCAGUAGCUGGUCUGAGAGGAUGAUCAGCCACACUGGGACUGAGACACGGCCCAGACUCCUACGGGAGGCAGCAGUAGGGAAUAUUGGACAAUGGGCGCAAGCCUGAUCAGCCAUGCCGCGUGAGUGAUGAAGGCCUUAGGGUUGUAAAGCUCUUUCGUCGAGGAAGAUAAUGAACGGUACCUGAAGAAGAAGCCCGCUAACUUCGUGACCAGCAGCCGC
rnacentral:rRNA from 1 species